rnacentral:rRNA from 1 species
GGAAGUGCUUGCACUUCCCUAGAGUGGCGGGACUGGUGAGUAACACGUGGGUGACAUACCUUUUAGUUGGGGAUAGCUAUUAGAAAUAGUAGAUAAUACCGAAUGUGACCAUUACAGUUAGAGUGUAAUGAGGAAAGGAGCUAAGGCUCCGCUAAAAGAUUGGCUCGCGGCCCAUUAGCUAGUUGGUGAGGUAACGGCCCACCAAGGCGAUGAUGGGUAUCCGGCCUGAGAGGGUGAUCGGACACAUUGGGACUGAGAUACGGCCCAGACUCCUACGGGAGGCAGCAGCUAAGAAUAUUCCACAAUGGACGAAAGUCUGAUGGAGCGACGCCGCGUGGAUGACGAAGGCCGAAAGGUUGUAAAAUCCUUUUAAACUGGAAGAAUAAUCAUGGUAGGGAAUGACCGUGAGGUGACCGUACAGUUUGAAUAAGCAACGGCUAAUUACGUGCCAGCAGCCGCGGUAACACGUAAGUUGCGAGCGUUGUUCGGAAUUAUUGGGCGUAAAGGGCAUGUAGGCGGUUUUGAAAGCUUGAUGUGAAAUCCCACAGCUUAACUGUGGAACUGCAUUGAGAACUACAAGACUAGAGUUACUGAAGGGAAACUAGAAUUCCAAGUGUAGGGGUGAAAUCUGUAGAUAUUUGGAAGAAUACCAAUGGCGAAGGCAAGUUUCUGGCAGAUAACUGACGCUGAGGUGCGAAGGUGCGGGGAGCAAACAGGAUUAGAUACCCUGGUAGUCCGCACAGUAAACGAUGUACACUAGGUGUUUGAACAUGAGGUUGGGUGCCAAAGCUAACGUGAUAAGUGUACCG